CGAACGCUGGCGGCAUGCUUAACACAUGCAAGUCGAACGCAGCAUCUGUGCUUGCACAGAUGGCUGAGUGGCAGACGGGUGAGUAACACGUGGGAACUUACCCUUUAGACUGGGACAACCACUGGAAACGGUGGCUAAUACCGGAUACGCCCUGAGGGGGAAAGCAGCAAUGCACUAAAGGAGAGGCCCGCGGCAGAUUAGGUAGUUGGUGGGGUAAAGGCCUACCAAGCCGAUGAUCUGUAGCUGGUUUGAGAGGAUGAUCAGCCACACUGGGACUGAGACACGGACCAGACUCCUAUGGGAGGCAGCAGUGGGGAAUAUUGCGCAAUGGGCGAAAGCCUGACGCAGCAACGCCGCGUGGGUGAUGAAGGCCUUCGGUCGUAAAGCCCUGUCAGAUGGGACGAACCGCCCGCCGAGGGGUCGUGACGGUACCGAUCGAAGGAAGCACCGGCUAACUACGUGCCAGCAG
rnacentral:rRNA from 1 species